UGAGGAAUCUUGCGCAAUGGGGGAAACCCUGACGCAGCAACGCCGCGUGAGUGAGGAAGGUCUUCGGAUCGUAAAGCUCUGUCAGUUGGGAAGAAAUACCUGAGGGUUAAUACCCUUCAGGCUUGACGGUACCAACAGAGGAAGCACCGGCUAACUCCGUGCCAGCAGCCGCGGUAAUACGGAGGGUGCAAGCGUUGUUCGGAAUUACUGGGCGUAAAGGGCGCGUAGGCGGUAAUAUAAGUCAAAUGUGAAAUCCUCCAGCUUAACUGGAGAACAGCAUCUGAAACUGUGUAACUAGAGUACAGGAGAGGGAAACGGAAUUCCCGGUGUAGAGGUGAAAUUCGUAGAUAUCGGGAGGAACACCAGCGGCGAAGGCGACCACCUGGACGGAUACUGACGCUGAGACGCGAAAGCGUGGGGAGCAAACAGG
rnacentral:rRNA from 1 species